rnacentral:ncRNA from 1 species
UUUACGGAGAGUUUGAUCCUGGCUCAGGAUGAACGCUGGCGGCGUGCUUAACACAUGCAAGUCGAACGGUGAAGGAGAGCUUGCUCUCUGGAUCAGUGGCGAACGGGUGAGUAACACGUGAGCAAUCUGCCCCUGACUCUGGGAUAAGCGCUGGAAACGGCGUCUAAUACCGGAUACGAGCUGCGAAGGCAUCUUCAGCAGCUGGAAAGAACUUCGGUCAGGGAUGAGCUCGCGGCCUAUCAGCUAGUUGGUGAGGUAACGGCUCACCAAGGCGUCGACGGGUAGCCGGCCUGAGAGGGUGACCGGCCACACUGGGACUGAGACACGGCCCAGACUCCUACG